ensembl:snoRNA
CCCAUUAGCUGAUGAUAUAACUUUAUACCCCUGUUGAUGGAUCCUGUUGAUCUAACUGGACUAUUACCAGUUUUAUCUGAUGCAUUGGG